GAAAACGGUAGUUAAGUUUCUUGGUAUCACAGUAGUACUUCUUAUUAUCCAAAGCUGGAAGGAUGCUGCUGCCAGUUAGCUGGGGUAGGUACUGCAACUAAAAAUGCAAAACACAGAAUUAGGUUCAAAACUGUGCCAUGCAUUUUUUUCAUUAUUUAGAAUAUAUCACAAAAGAGGUAAUUAAGCUUUUUAGUAUAGAAGUACUUUUUUUGCACACAAUCCAGGACUUGAGAGAGGAUUAAAUGUUUCAAUUUCGUCUUGGCUUUUCCUUUUAAAUGUUUAUAUUAAAAAGGAAAAACAUUCACAUUAAAGAAGAUUUAGAGAAUAUGAAAAGGGGAAAAUCUACAUGUUAACAUUAUUGGGAAGAAAACAUAGAUUUACAGGAGUUGAGAGCUUGCUGAGAUCUUAGGGAUCAUUUAAGCCAAUGCCUUGUCUUAUAGCGGAGAAAACUGAUAAACAGAGCACCUAGGCAAUUUGCCUACUCACUCUCUUCCCUUAGUUAAAAAGGCAAAUCAAGCAUGGCACAGUGUACACUUGUAGUUCCAGCUACAAGGGAGGCUGAGUGGGAGCAUCCCUUGAGCCCAGGAGAGCAGCCUGGGCAACAUAGCAAGAUCCCCAUCUCUAAAGAAAAAAGACAAACUGCUUCCUUCAAGCUUCCUGAAAAUGUUUGAAUUUAUUGUCAAUGUCAAAUGAAAGAACACACCUGUAUUUUUUGUAUUGCACUAUAUGUCCUUCGGUAUCCCUAAAAAGGGAACUGUUUAGUACUUUUACUUUCUAGAAAAAAAUUUUUCAGCCAUUGUCCUCAGAAAAGUGCUUUUUAGUACUUUUAAAUCAGUUGAUUCUUUCAGGAUUUAAAAGCAGUACACCAGGCCAGGUGUGAGCCACUGCCCAGCCAGGAGAAGAAUU
rnacentral:lncRNA from 1 species